rnacentral:rRNA from 1 species
AUUGAACGCUGGCGGCAGGCCUAACACAUGCAAGUCGAGCGGAUGAAGGGAGCUUGCUCCUGGAUUCAGCGGCGGACGGGCGAGUAAUGCCUAGGAAUCUGCCUGGUAGUGGGGGAUAACGUCCGGAAACGGGCGCUAAUACCGCAUAAGUCCUGAGGGAGAAAGUGGGGGAUCUUCGGACCUCACGCUAUCAGAUGAGCCUAGGUCGGAUUAGCUAGUUGGUGGGGUAAAGGCCUACCAAGGCGACGAUCCGUAACUGGUCUGAGAGGAUGAUCAGUCACACUGGAACUGAGACACGGUCCAGACUCCUACGAGAGGCAGCAGUGGGGAAUAUUGGACAAUGGGCGAAAGCCUGAUCCAGCCAUGCCGCGCGUGUGAAGAAGGUCUUCGGAUUGUAAAGCACUUUAAGUUGGGAGGAAGGGCAGUAAGUUAAUACCUUGCUGUUUUGACGUUACCAACAGAAUAAGCACCGGCUAACUUCGUG